GAGUGGGCGAUAACCAAUGGGAGUGCCUUGGGCCGCCUCAGGUGCCCUUUACGCCACCGAGUACCAGGAAAUCGACAAGAAAUCAUCUGUGUUCACAAGCAAGCCGGGCUCGGAGACGGACUCCUAAAGCUGAAGUCAAUCAGCGGUUCAACCGACCCCACUGCCCCAUCCAUCCCUGCCGUUACGUUACGUGCUUUUGCUUCCGAAACAUCACUGCUCCCUCCUCAACAAUCUGCAAAUGCCAGCUUGGGCCAUUACCGUUUUAUUUAUAUUCAAUAUUGUUUUUCAUAUAUAUAUAUAUAUAUAUUCGUUUUGUGCUGCUUUGCCCUGUUCCCCGGGCCUCUGCGGCAGAGAGCGAUUAGUGUGCUUUCACAAAAGCAAGCAAGGCCGCAGUGCUUAGAUUUUAUUUAUUUAUUGGCCACGCUUUCAAACAACAACGAAAAGCCUCAUUUAACGAGGUGAUUUAAUUAUCAGGACAUGGCGCCUAAUGGGCUGCACUUGCUAAAAGACCAAGGGCUCUCUCUCUUCUCUCUCUCUCCCUCUCUCUCUCUCCCUCUCUCUCUCUCUCUCUCUCUCUCUUUCGCUCUAUCGGAGUGCUGCUGCAAACAGAUUUGUAACUGCUGAGCAAUCCCAUCGGCUAAACGCACGGAGAUAGGAGCGGAACAUCUAAAGUGAUUAGAUCUUGUAACAUUGCAUUUUGGACGCACAUGUUUAAGGGCGCUCGGCGCCAGCUCGCUGACGUCGAGUUGUAACUACCGUCGCGUAUCACUUUUCGCUUUAAAAAAAAACCCAAAUAUCGCCUCCCUGAUCUAACCGCUGUGCAAAGAAAGGGCUGAUACAUUAAGAACUGCCGGCAACAUUAUUGCUGAUGCGUUGCCCGUAGAUCGUGUAUGACAAGACCUACCACUUUAAACGGCAAGGGUUUAAACUUCCUGAUUUUGAAAUUGACAGUGGAGGCAUGAUGAUCGUUGUCUUGGACGCGCAGUUCAAAGUUACAAAGGCGCAUUCAGUAUUUCUCCCUACAAUAGGCGCCCUAUUUGCUACAAAGCUGCAGAAUAUGAACCAAAGUUGAAACUUCCGACCCCUUAAAAUCAAGGGCAACUUUCUGAACAUUUGAGCCCGUGUUAGAUGAUGAAUAAAUAAUACUAUGAGCCAGAAGGCGUUCUUCCAAAACUUCAUACAUGGAGAGUACAAAUAUAAAUAAAAAGUGAUACAAAAUUAAUACCAGAACUUGGCUUUCUUAUGAAGAUUAUACAUCAACCUAAAGAAACACCAAAGGCAUCAUCAAAAGUAAUCAAGUAACAAAUGUGAUUAGCAGACAAAUUGUUAAUGUAUUUAUAUUCUUCACCUCGUUGUUUUAAAGAAGAUUUGAAACGUUAAUGUUUCUGUAAAUGCCCUGCUGUACAAAUAUUUUUGAGCUUGUGUGCAAGUUUCACUUUUACCGUUGUUACAAGCCAUACCUCAUAUACCUCCUACUUUAGUGGUGUCCUGUUUUGACAUUAUUCUGUUAUCUUUAUGAAGGGGGCAACAUUAAAUAAAUGCAGAGGGAUUAACAGUCGCUUUCCGCUCCCCGAAGGUGUCUUGGUUAACCUAAUGUGUUUCAGCAACAAUCUAGUACUUUCCUAGUUACAUGUAUUCAAGAGAGUUAGAUGUAGCUCUUAGGGCUAAUGGAAUCAAGGGACAUGGUGAGAAAGCAGGAACGGGUACGGAUUUUGGAUGAUCAACCAUGAUCAUCUUUUAAGGGGCCUUCUCCUCUAUUUCUACUUUCCACUUUCUCUCUUCCUUUUUCUAUUUUUUAUAUACACACUUCACGUUUUUCUACUCUCUACCAUCUAUUUUUCCACUUUUUCCCCUUUCUAUUGUUUUCUUUUUCUUGUUCUGUUUACUUCCUUCUUAUAACAUAAAACUAGAGGUUGUACAUAGAAUGGAUUACGGUAUUACAUAGUUGGCACCUAAAAUUAGGUGCCACUGUACUGUUUUGUGCUGUAUUAACUUCUAAUAAAAUAAACAAAAAAAACCCAUGAUCAUAUUGAAUGGCCGUGCCACUUGAUGGGCCGAAUGGCCUACUGCUGCUAUUUUCUGUGUUUUUUCUAUGUUUACUGAGUUUGUGUUUUUAAUUCUAGAUAUGUUUAAUAAAUUCCCCAAGGCCUUGGUGGGAUUCAAAAACCUGCAUGUGGAUCAAUAGUACAGGCAUCAGGAUGCAUAUCCUGUAACUUAACUAUGAUGCUAAUCCUACUCAUUCACAAAUACUUUGCAUUAAACAAAAAUCAAAGUCAUGAUUUCUGGGUCACAAUCUCUUUGGAAGGUCAACGGUUUGAGGAUUGUGAGUUAUUUUGCAUUUUCUGUAUGUUUGCCUGCAUAGCAACAGCAUUAUUUUGAUACUAAAAAUGGCACCUAAAUUACUAGCAUGGAAAAGAUACCAGGAUCAAAGAAACCAUUGUAAUUGUCAAUAUAUGUUAUUAUUAGUUACCUCUAAAUACAAUGAAUCAUCUGUAGAAUGGUCUUGUAUCAGAAAUAAAUGUUAAGCGGUAAUUUAUAUACAAUAUGAUAGAGAACCUAACAAAUGUCAUUGAUUCUUUAUGUGACAGGAACAUGGUGAACCUUUGUUGAGGUUUGUGUUCAGUGCUGAACCUACAGUGCAUUAUUUAUUGCACUAACUUUGCAUUUACAUUCACGUGUAAAAAAACAUGGUUUUCUCUCAAAUCUGAGGUAGCGCAGGCCACAGGGGAAAGGUAACCCACAAAAUUAUAAUAUCAAAAAUAAAAUUGUGUGAAUACUGAUAGUCAUAAAUAAAUAAAAAAAACAGAAACAGUCAGCUACUCUGGCCACAUGUAUGCAGGCAGAAACAGAGUGAAUGAUGUAAGUCAUGACCUUUCAUCAGGAUAUUCUGAUGAAAUAUCAUUGAUCUGAAAUCUUAAUUCUGUUUAUUAGUUCUCAGAUGUUGCCUGACCACCAAAUUGCGGAAUAUUUGCCACUCAAUUUGUGCACUUUGUUUGGUGAGCAGAAGAGCAGGAAAAAUAAAUAAUUCUUUUCGCAGUCUGAAGAAGGAUCUCGACACAAAACGUCACCUAUUCCUUUUCUCCAGAGAUGCUGCCUGUCCCGCUGAGUUACUCCGAAAUUUGGUGCCUCUCUUCGGUAUAAACCAGCAUCUGCAGUUCCUUCCUACAAAUGUGGUCUUUUUCUUGAGUUCAUGAAAAUGCAGAUAAAUAGCGUUGUUUGAAUAAAAAGGAAGUACUUCUUAAAUAAUUAGUCUUGUUUAUUAUACAGUUUAUUCCAAAGAUAAUCCAGCCUUUAAUUCACUUGAGAAAAAUAUUGUUGUGUAUUGUACGUGUAGCCUUUUCUCCUAACCAGGCCUUUUCCUUAAAAGUAGAAUGACUGACACCAGUUAAAUCUGCUUGAUUUCAACUUCACCAAAAAUAUUAGUACAGGUAAUCAUUUUGUUUUUUGAAGACAGACACAGUCAGCUGGAAUAACUCAAUGGGUCAGACAGCAUCUAUGGAGAAAAGGAAUAGGUGACGUUUCGGGUCGAGACGGUUCUUCAGACCCAAAACGUCACCUAUUCCUUUUCUCCAGAAAUGUCUGACCCACUGAGUUACUCCAGCUUUUUGUAUCUAUCCUCGGUUUAAACAAGCAUCUGCAGUUCCUUGUUACAUAUUAUUUUUGGCACUGAUUGGAAAGAAUUGACGAUGUUGCAAGUUUUCUUUCCCCAAAUAAUGGAUAUUGCAGAAGACUUGAACCAAAGUCAGAAACCUCGGAAGCACUGAGUGAGUUAGACAAGAAAGGAUCAGUUAACAUCUUGGGAGCGGAUCCUUCUCUCGAAAAUCAGUUCCAGUUUUGAUGAAGGGACCACUUCUGAAUUGUUUUGGUUCCAGAUUUGUAGCAUCUGCUUUUUGACUGAUACUUUUGCAUGUGCACAUGUCCAGAAUUCAGUCAUCUCCUUGUAAUGGACUGAAAAACAGUGUAUCAAAAUGCUUCCUAAUUAUAUAGAAAUUUUGCAGGCCAACACUCCUAACAUAUUGUCAGGAUUACAUAUUCUAACUGACAUGAUGUAUGGAACUGGUGAAUUGCAGUGCUGAGAGCUAUAUUCUGCAUUAUGUAUCUUCCACUUUAUCUAUUGUACUUGAGUCUGACAAUUGUAUUUAUAUAUAGUAUUAUAUGAUUUGAUCAGAUGGCAUGCAAAACAAAGCUUAUCGCUGUACCUUUGUACACAUGACAAUUAAAAAAAAAAAACAGUAAAAAACAUCCCCACUUCUCCUUUGGUCUAUUCUACUUGAGUUUUUACAUUGUAUCUAUAUGGUAUGUCUGAGCUGUUUGGAUAGCAUGCAAAACAAUGCUUUUAACUGUACCUAGGUGACAAUGUAGCGACGGGUUUGAAGGAAAUUAUCCUGGUGUGUGCGUAUGCGCAUGUGUGUGUGUGCGUAUACAGAUAUGCUCUCAUGCACAAACACACGCGCGCAAAAAUGUGCACAUGGGUGUGCGUGCAUGUGUGCAUGUGCGCACAUGUGUGUGAGAGGGUGUGUGUGCGUGUUCGUGUGUGUGGGAGCAUGUGCCCGUGUGCGUGCGUGUACGUAUGUGUGUGUGUGUGCGUGUAUGUGCGUGUGUAGCACCAUGAAAUCCUCACAAGAUUAAAAUUAAUAGAAAUCACGAGGAAAACACUUUACUGAUGGGAAUAAUAAUUUGCAAAAUGAUGUUGCUGUGCUUGUCGGCAAAUUAUCUCAAUCCCAGGAUGAAGUUGCAGGGGACCCUUGGUACAGAGUCCUGGAACCAACAUUUUCAUUUACAUCAUCAAAGAACGUACUUCCACAAUGUAGGCAGAAGCAUAUUUCAUGGUGAUUACAAAGUGCUUGCAUGUCUCUGCAUCCGAACAAGUAAUGAAGCAUUGCACUGAUAACUGGCACAUAUGCCAGGAAAGGGCCACCAACUAUAAGUGAAAUCUAUCCACCUACCCAUGACAAUUAAUAGCCAAAAUAUUGCUAAGUUCCUUAUUAUAGAACAUAGAAAAGUACAUCAGUCUGAAGAAGGGUUUUGGCCCAAAACAUUGCCUAUUUCCUUCGCUCCAUAGAUGCUGCUGCACCCGCUGAGUUUCUCCAGCAUUUUUGUGUACCUUCGAUUUUCCAGCAUCUGCAGUUCCUUCUUAAACUAGAAAAGUACAGCACAGGAACAGGCCUUAUGGUCCACAAUAUCUGUGCUGAACAUGAUGCCAAGAUAAACUAAUCUUUACCGCCUCCGCUUGAUCAAUAUCCAUCCAUUCCAUUUGUCUAUCUAAAAGUCUCAAACAUGUCACUAUCAUGUCUGCACCACCAACAAAUGCAACAUGUUUCAGGAAUCCACCACUCUCUGUAUUAAAAAAAAAUGUCCUGCAUAUCUCCUUUAAACUUUGAACCUUUUACUUAAAGUUAUGCCUUCCUCUCUUUGACAUUUCAUUGUUAAUAUUUAGGGAAUCAAUAUCAAUUAACAAAAUCAAAUUUUUUGGCCCUAAGGGUUUGCCACCUGACUUCCCAAAUUGUUUGUUGCUAUGGAGCAGAAGCUAUGGAGAGUUGUGGAAUACCUAGAUGAUUGCAACUAUUGUUAUUUAAGAACUUAACACGCCCAGUUCCGAGCCUCCCGUAUGUUUGGCCACCUGCUUAUCUCCUUAAUGAGUAUGUCCUACCCCAUUAUUGUACCAUGAUGCAUUGCAGCAACGUGCCAAAGGUUUCACAGCAUUUCUGAAACACAGGGCUUCAAACCCCCAGAAGCAGUAAAGCAAUGGGUACAUGUGUCCAACAGAACUUCCAAACUUGGCUGCUAGUUACACACCGACAAGCUUUGGAACUGCAUUGCUGUUCACUCAUCAAUGAUCCCAGACCAAACCAUUUCGAGGUCAGGUCGGGGGGAGUUCCCCCCAGCCACGGGUACUGUAAUCCUGUGCUACCUGCUCCGUGGUCGGAUAGUCGGCGACUAAACCAUCUUCCCCACCUGGUUUGUGGACCCCCAGCAGGACCAAAAACUAGACCUUACAAAGAGCGAGCCAACGGCCAUCCACACUAUAGUAGAAUUUGCGAUCACUGUCGUACACAGCAUCGUAAGGAAUGAUGAUAAAGCACACACACCAAAAUCCUAUACAUCCAGCGGCGGAGGUCUGCAGGAACUGGAGGACAGAGAUGUGUGGAGCGUCCGUCACCGUUCCUGUCGGAAACUGGCACCACUGCAACGCUAAUGUUUUUAACGAUGAUGAUGAUGAUUUAGAGUGGCAAUAAAUGUUAGUUUUCAGGUAAUAUCCACAUUCCUAAAAUACUUUAAAAAAAAAUGCUACCCUCAGAACCUGAUAAAUAAACGUUCUUGCAGCUAAACAAGCAAAACACUGCACUUCCUAGAAAUCUGAAGUAAAAAAAACACAGAAAAAGCUGGAAAUACUCAGCAGGUCUGGCAACAACCGUGGAGAGUGUUUCAGAUCAACAACUAGUUCAUAGACACGGCAGCUUUCAUAACUGUUUUAAUUGUUCAAGUGAUGCAUAAAUCAGAUUAAUGCUGGAUUCAAAAUAUGUUAAUUCCACACACUGAGCUGUACAUGAAGUCCAUGCAGAAAGUAAAUUAAUGGAUCUGUAUCCUAUUGUGGGGGCAAUGACACCUGUGCAUCAUUAUGAUUUAAAUUUGACUUCAUCUUUGUGGGGUUUUUUCUGUUUACUACAGCACAUGUAUUGUAUAUUAUACUAGUAGGUUGUAUUAAUAGCUUAUUUAGAAUUAAUAUUGAAUUUCAUACUAUUUAAAGUAAUUAAUUUAUUCACUGUUUGUGAAACCCUAGUAUGACUCACUUUAAGUUGACAAAUAUAUCUUAAAAAUUCACAUGGAUACUGUCUAUUUUUUUAAUUAAAAAAUCUAAAACUUAAUUUUAUGCUUAAUCUAAUGGUGAACAUUUCCAAACUAGAACUAACUCAGUGCAGCCUUAUGAGAGUAAGUAAAAUUGAAAUACUUGCUCCAGCAGUUUACUGCAACAAAAUGCUUAAACAUAAAUGUCAAUAUUAAUUAGAUUGCCAAGAUACUUCCCUGACUUGACAUUCUGAUGUUUUCUCCAAAGCUCGAUGUUGAAGCAUUCUGUAUGAAUACAAAAUAAUGUUUGGCAGUAGGACUGAAAACAGAUCACAAUAAUGUUCCAAGAGUCUCUGUGGGACUAAGGAUAUAAAUAUAUGGAGCAGAUGGGCUUUUCUCUAGUCAGAUUUUUCAUGGAUCACUUGUUCGUUUCCUGGUUCUGCCUGACAUCAAUUUGGCAUGUUUCAAGAAACUCUUUAUAGUGAAAGAUGAGAUGUAAUAUGUAUAACCAACACUCCAAUGAUAUAAAUUUCAAAUAUUCAGGUUCCAAUCAAUCAAUGGAAAACUACUCAAGAAACAAAAUAUGUUUAUCUUUGCCCUUUUAAGUUGAUGAGUUUAAGAAAUAUUGUAUGCAUU